GGGGCUGUGGCUCAGUGGCAGAGCAUUUGCUUGGCAUGCAGAUGGUCGCAGGUUCAGUUCCCAGCAUUUCCA
rnacentral:tRNA from 1 species